rnacentral:rRNA from 1 species
GAUGAACGCUAGCUACAGGCUUAACACAUGCAAGUCGAGGGGAAACGACAUCGAGAGCUUGCUUUUGAUGGGCGUCGACCGGCGCACGGGUGAGUAACGCGUAUCCAACCUGCCCACCACUUGGGGAUAACCUUGCGAAAGUAAGACUAAUACCCAAUGAUAUCCCACGAAGGCAUCCGAAUGGGAUUAAAGAUUUAUCGGUGAUGGAUGGGGAUGCGUCUGAUUAGCUUGUUGGCGGGGUAACGGCCCACCAAGGCGACGAUCAGUAGGGGUUCUGAGAGGAAGGUCCCCCACAUUGGAACUGAGACACGGUCCAAACUCCUACGGGAGGCAGCAGUGAGGAAUAUUGGUCAAUGGGCGAGAGCCUGAACCAGCCAAGUAGCGUGCAGGAUGACGGCCCUAUGGGUUGUAAACUGCUUUUAUAAGGGAAUAAAGUUAGUCUCGUGAGACUUUUUGCAUGUACCUAUGAAUAAGGACCGGCUAAUUCCGUG